GGCAGGCCCGCGUAGAAAGCAAGAGGUGGAAGGUGUCCCCAGCACGGGAAAUCUCUUUGCGGAGCCUCCUGACGCAGCGUGCAAGUCCACGGCGCCGGCUGCGAGGGUGAGCUCGGGUUGGGCAUUCACUGCUCGUCCCUGCGUGUCCCCUAAGGGUGACGCCUGGAAAACGCUGCGUCACGUGUCACAUCCCGCCCCUCUCCUAUAGGAGGCAGUGUGGGCGGGGCGGGGCGUGUCUGUGGCAGUCACGCCCCUCUUCCCGGUCAAGUUCAAGUAUCUGGGUUGCAAGUUUUUACUGGGCGUGCGUCCUCGCCUCUGGGAGCCGCUGUACUCUCUGUGAACACAGCGGGCAUCCCCCCCAGCAGAUCUGCAGAGCGUCGUGGUUCAUGGGUAACCAAGGUGCCCCGAAAGGAUGAAGUCGGGAGGCUCACAACCAUCUAGGCUCAGGGACGCAGGUCUGGCCCACGCAUCCAGUCAGGUGCUAGCUGGGAUCUUCUCACAGGUAAACUGUCACGUGUCUCUGGGCUCUCUGUUCUGUUUCACUGGCCUCUUGACUCUUCUGCCAGUGCCACAGUGCCUUGAUGACUGGAAUCUUCAUAGUAACUUUUUAAAGCUUCCUGUCUUGAUAUUUACUUAGUUUAUGGUUACAAAGUGUCUUUCCUGAAUAUAAUUUUAUAUGCUACACACAUGCAGUACCCAUGGAGGCCACAAGAGGGAGCUGGAUUCCCCCCCCCCCCCCCCACGGAACUGGAGCUACGGAGGGUUGUGAGCCAUUGUGUGGGUGCUGGGCACCAGACCCAGGUCCUGUGCAAGAGCAGCUCUUGCUCAUAGCCAGUGAGCCACCUCACCAACCACCUCAUUCCAC
rnacentral:lncRNA from 1 species